rnacentral:rRNA from 1 species
UACGGAGGGUGCGAGCGUUGUCCGGAUUUACUGGGCGUAAAGAGCGCGCAGGCGGUCGUUCAAGUCGAGUGUGAAAGCCCCCGGCUCAACUGGGGAGGGUCAUUCGAUACUGAUCGACUCGAAGGCAGGAGAGGGAAGCGGAAUUCCCGGUGUAGUGGUGAAAUGCGUAGAUAUCGGGAGGAACACCAGUGUCGAAGGCGGCUUCCUGGCCUGUUCUUGACGCUGAGGCACGAAAGCGUGGGGAGCGAACGGG